UACGGAGGUGGCAAGCGUUGCUCGGAAUUAUUGGGCGUAAAGGGUAGGUAGGUGGUCUUAUUUGUCUGGGGUGAAAUCCUUGAGCUUAACUCAAAGAAGGUGCCCCGUAGAAACGGUAAGACGUAGAGUCUUGGAGAGGGUCGUGGAAUUCCGGGUGUAGCGGUGAAAUGCGUAGAGAUCGGGAGGAACACCAGAGGCGAAGGCGGCGACCUGGACAAGCACGUGAC
rnacentral:rRNA from 1 species